rnacentral:snRNA from 1 species
GUGCUUGCUUCAGCAGCACUCAUACUAAAAUUGGAAUGACACAGACAAGCUCAGCAGGACCCCUGCACAAGAUGAUAUGCAAAUCUGUGCAGAGUUCCAUAUUUUG